AAUGAACGCUGGCGGUAGGCCUAACACCUGCAAGUCGAACGGAUCCUUCGGGAUUAGUGGCGGACGGGUGUGUAACGCGUGGGAACAUACCCUUUGGUACGGAAUAGCCUCGGGAAACUGGGAGUAAUACCGUAUGUGGUCGAGAGACGAAAGAUUUAUCGCCAAAGGAUUGGCCCGGGGUGGGUUAGGUAGUUGGUGGGGUAAUGGCCUACCAAGCCGACGAUCCCUAGCUGGUUUGAGAAGAUGAUCAGCCACACUGGGACUGAGACACGGACCAGAGUCCGCCGGGAGGCAGCAGUGGGGGAGCUUAGACAAUGGAGGGAUCCCUGAUCUAGCACUGCCGCGUGAUCGAUGAAGGCCUUAGGGUUGUAAAGAUCCUUCAGGUGGGAAGAUAAUGACUGUACCACCAGAAGAAGCCCCGGCUAACUCCGUGCCAGCCGCCGCAGUAA
rnacentral:rRNA from 1 species